GACAGAGGGUGCAAACGUUGCUCGGAUUUACUGGGCGUAAAGCGCGUGUAGGCGGGCGACUAAGUCGGAUGUGAAAUCCCUGGGCUCAACCUAGGAACUGCAUUCGAAACUGGUCACCUAGAGUGAUGGAGAGGAAAGCGGAAUUCCCGGUGUAGAGGUGAAAUUCGUAGAUAUCGGGAGGAACACCAGUGGCGAAGGCGGCUUUCUGAACAUUUACUGACGCUGAGACGCGAAAGCGUGGGGAGCAAACAGG
rnacentral:rRNA from 1 species